AGCCCCAUAGUUUCAAAAUAUAAGAUUGCAAAUCUUAAGUAGCAGACUAAUUACUGCUGGGGCUU
rnacentral:tRNA from 1 species